rnacentral:rRNA from 1 species
AGUUCGGAUUGUAGUCUGCAACUCGAGUACAUGAAGCUGGAAUCGCUAGUAAUCGCAAAUCAGAAUGUUGCGGUGAAUACGUUCCCGGGCCUUGUACACACCGCCCGUCACACCAUGGGAGUUGGAAGCACCCGAAGUCGAUGACCUAACCGCGAGGGAGGAGUCGCCGAAGGUGAAGCCAGUGACUGGGGUGAAGUCGUAACAAGGUACC